rnacentral:rRNA from 2 species
AGACCCGAAACCCGGUGAUCUAGCCAUGGGCAGGUUGAAGGUUGGGUAACACUAACUGGAGGACCGAACCGACUAAUGUUGAAAAAUUAGCGGAUGACCUGUGGCUGGGGGUGAAAGGCCAAUCAAACCGGGAGAUAGCUGGUUCUCCCCGAAAGCUAUUUAGGUAGCGCCUCGUGAAUUCAUCUCCGGGGGUAGAGCACUGUUUCGGCUAGGGGGCCAUCCCGGCUUACCAACCCGAUGCAAACUGCGAAUACCGGAGAAUGUUAUCACGGGAGACACACGGCGGGUGCUAACGUCCGUCGUGAAGAGGGAAACAACCCAGACCGCCAGCUAAGGUCCCAAAGUCAUGGUUAAGUGGGAAACGAUGUGGGAAGGCCCAGACAGCCAGGAUGUUGGCUUAGAAGCAGCCAUCAUUUAAAGAAAGCGUAAUAGCUCACUG